GCAGCCAAUGCGAGAAGGGGCGGCAGCCAUGACGACGAAGAUGUCGGACCUCUGAGGAGAAUUAAUGUUCCUUCCCUGAGUUUACUACGAGUCAAGUCAGUUUAAGGGCCCUUCCACAUAGCCAUAUAACCCAGAAUAAAAAGGUUUUGACUAUUUUUAGCCUUGCUGCACAUAAGAUACAUGAGGUCUUUAAUUGAAAAGAGGAAGACGAUGUUACAUAUGGCCUGAAUCACUGGGUUUUUGAUGGGAGUCUCUCAUUCACAUAAUCUCCAUAAAUCAAAGCCAGCCUAAUGGCAAAGAAUAACUCCUAUUCACCAAUUCUGUAAGUAUAUUUAUUGAAAAUAUCCUUUUUAAAAAUCUCAAUAAAAGAAGACAAUUGUUGAUUAAUUAAAAAGUGCCCAUAUUAAAGGCUGUAACAGGCCAAAGAUAUUUUAAAUUGGUAACAGUUGGGUUUUAAGCAUAGAGCAGGAUACAAAUGCAAAACAAUGACAAAAUACAUUUGUUUUUUAAAUACAUGUGCAGAAACAACUUCAGAUAGGCAACAUAAUUAAUAUCUCUUAAAAUAAUGACAGCCAUUGCCAAACAAGCAGAAUCUUCCAUUCCUCAUAAUUUGUACUGCUGAUAUCCUGCAGUAAAAUCAGUGUUCAGAUUUUCAGAUACUCUCAUAUCCACUGAUUGGUUUUCUUCUGUAGAUCACGCAGGUGACAAGCACAAUGAUAAAUAAUCCUACAAGACUGAGGGUCACGGUGAUCGGUAUCAGUUUCUUGUUUCUGUCAAGGGCACACAUUUCCGCUACAAUUGGGAUAGUAAGACAAGGUGUUCAAGGCAUAAAUAUCAUAAGCUUUCAAUAAAGUUAUUUGCUCACCAUUUUUAGAGUUCCCAUUUA